ACGUAGGAGGCAAGCGUUAUCCGGAUUCACUGGGCGUAAAGCGCGUGCAGGUGGCGUGGUAAGUUGGAUGUGAAAGCUCCCGGCUCAACUGGGAGAGGUCAUUCAAUACUACCGUGCUUGAGAGCAGAAGAGGAAGAUGGAAUUCCCGGUGUAGUGGUGAAAUGCGUAGAUAUCGGGAGGAACACCAGUGGCGAAGGCGAUCUUCUGGUCUGUUUCUGACACUCAGACGCGACAGCUAGGGUAGUAAACGGGA
rnacentral:rRNA from 1 species